GAACGCGAAGAACCUUACCAGCUUUUGACAUGUCACGUUUGGUCGCCAGAGAUGGCUUCCUUCAGUUCGGCUGGCGUGAACACAGGUGCUGCAUGGCUGUCGUCAGCUCGUGUCGUGAGAUGUUGGGUUAAGUCCCGCAACGAGCGCAACCCUCGUCCUUAGUUGCCAUCAUUCAGUUGGGCACUCUAGGGAGACUGCCGGUGAUAAGCCGGAGGAAGGUGGGGAUGACGUCAAGUCCUCAUGGCCCUUACAGGCUGGGCUACACACGUGCUACAAUGGCGGUGACAAUGGGAUGCGGAGGGGCGACCCCGAGCAAAUCUCAAAAAGCCGUCUCAGUUCGGAUUGUACUCUGCAACUCGAGUGCAUGAAGGUGGAAUCGCUAGUAAUCGUAGAUCAGAACGCUACGGUGAAUACGUUCCCGGGUCUUGUACACACC
rnacentral:rRNA from 1 species